GACGAACGCUGGCGGCGUGCUUAACACAUGCAAGUCGAGCGGAAAGGCCCUUCGGGGUACUCUAGCGGCGAACGGGUGAGCAACACGGGAAUAACCUGCCCCAGACUUUGGGAUAACCCGCGGAAACGGGGACUAAGACCCGAUACGACACAACUUCGCUGGGGGGCUGUGUGGAAAGUUUGUCGGUGUGGGAUGGGCUCGCGGCCUAUGAGCUCGUUGGUGAGGUGAUGGCUGACGAGGGCACCGCCGGGUAGCCGACCUGAGAGCGGGAACGGCCACACUAGGACUGCGAGACGGAGCAGACUCCUACGGGACGCAGCAGUCGGGAGUAUUGCGGAAUAGGGGGACGUCUGAUGCGGCGGCGCCGGGAGCGGGAUGCUGGCCUUCGGGUGGUGAACAUCUUUCAGCAUGAACGAAGCGUACUUGACGGUACCUGAUGAAGAAGCGACGGCCAACUACGUG
rnacentral:rRNA from 1 species